GAGAUGUGGAUGGACUCUUAUAACCUGAGGAAAGUUCACCUCCAGCUACUCUCAUGCUGUUGGCUCACUUCAGAAAACAGUUCAUGAGGUUUUACCAGGUUCUCUACUUGGGCGUAAAACAAAUAAGCAUAAUUGUAUGAAAAAGAAGACUAUUCAUUUUAUGUGGAAUAUGUAAGCAAAGGGUUUUGGGCUUCCAAGAGAUGGUACAGUUAAGUCAUCUUGGAGAAGGUGGAAACAAAAUUUGAAUAUUGGGACCCAGGAGGGAAGUAAUCUCUUCCUCCUUUCCCACC